AUUGAACGCUGGCGGCAGGCCUAACUCAUGCAAGUCGAGCGGAGCGGCGGACGGGUGAGUAAUGCCUAGGAAUCUGCCUGGUAGUGGGGGAUAACGUCCGGAAACGGGCGCUAAUACCGCAUACUAUCAGAUGAGCCUAGGUCGGAUUAGCUAGUUGGUGGGGUAAAGGCCUACCAAGGCGACGAUCCGUAACUGGUCUGAGAGGAUGAGCCGACACACUGGAACUGCGACACGGUCCAGACUCCUACGGGAAGCAGCAGUGGAGAAUAUUAGACAAUGGGCGAAAGCCAGAUCCAGCCAUGCCGCGUGUGUGAAGAAGGUCUUCGGAUUGUAAAGCACUUUAAGUUGGGAGGCGUUACCAACAGAAUAAGCACCGGCUAACUUCGUGCAAGCCGCCGCGGGAAUUC
rnacentral:rRNA from 1 species